rnacentral:misc_RNA from 1 species
GAUGAAGAACGCAGCGAAAUGCGAUAAGUAAUGUGAAUUGCAGAAUUCAGUGAAUCAUCGAAUCUUUGAACGCACAUUGAGCCCCUUGGUAUUCCGAGGGGCAUGCCUGUUCGAGCGUCAUUAUAACCCCUCAAGCUUAGCUUGGUGUUGGGGCCUGCUGUAAUAGAGCAGCCCUUAAAAUCAGUGGCGGUGCCAUUAGGCUCUAAGCGUAGUAAUUCUUCUCGCUAUAGGGUUCUGGUGGAUGCUUGCCAUUAACCUCUAAUUUUCUAUGGUUGACCUCGGAUCAGGUAGGGAUACCCGCUGAACUUAAGCAUAUCAAUAAGCGGAGGA